UACGUAGGGUGCAAGCGUUGUCCGGAAUUAUUGGGCGUAAAGAGCUCGUAGGCGGUUUGUCGCGUCUGCUGUGAAAACUCGGGGCUUAACUCCGGGCCUGCAGUGGGUACGGGCAGACUAGAGUGCGGUAGGGGAGACUGGAAUUCCUGGUGUAGCGGUGAAAUGCGCAGAUAUCAGGAGGAACACCGGUGGCGAAGGCGGGUCUCUGGGCCUUACCUGACGCUGAGGCGCGAAAGCUAGGGGAGCGAACAGG
rnacentral:rRNA from 1 species